UACGGAGGAUGCGAGCGUUAUCCGGAUUUAUUGGGUUUAAAGGGUGCGUAGGCGGUCCGGAAAGUCAGCGGUGAAAGCCCGGGGCUCAACCCCGGCGAGCCGUUGAAACUGUCGGACUAGAGACGGCGAGAAGUACGCGGAAUGCGCGGUGUAGCGGUGAAAUGCAUAGAUAUCGCGCGGAACCCCGAUUGCGAAGGCAGCCUUCCGGCGCCCUACUGACGCUGAGGCACGAAAGUGCGGGGAUCGAACAGG
rnacentral:rRNA from 1 species